CCGGUUCCGUUUGAGCGGGAAGAUGUUUUUUUAGUUUACUUCCGUUAUGUUCUGAUGAGGAUGCCAGAACUAAGUUGAGAAUAAAGACUACUCAAACGAGAAACGUGUGGUUCACUGAAAGAAUGAGCAACGAGGCUGAACACGCAACAGGUUAUGGGCCCAGGCACAGCACAGGAGGCCGAUGGCACAGACUGGUUUUCGACGGAGACGAAAACCACUACGAAAUAUGGGAGGUAAAAUUCCUUGCUUACUUGAGAACGCUGGGAUUAAAAGAUACCAUCCUAUCGGCUGAUAACCCAGACCGAGAGAAAAACGAGGAGUGCUAUGCAGAGCUAAUACAGUUCCUCGACGAUAAAAGCCUGUCGUUGGUGAUGAGAGAUGCUGCAGAUAACGGCCGGAAAGCGCUCCAUAUACUACGCGGCCAUUACGCCAGCCACGGUAAACCGAGAAUCAUCGCUCUUUACACAGAGCUCACCUCCCUGUUAAAAGACCCUGGGGAAACAGUGACAGAUUAUAUUUUACGUGCUGAAAAAGCAGCAACGUCUCUGAGAAAUGCAAAUGAGGUGAUAAGUGACGGACUGAUCAUAGCAAUGAUCCUAAAGGGGCUUCCGGAGUCAUACAAGCCUUUUGCUAUUCACACAACUCAGAGCAGUGAAGAAUUAACAUUUAUCCAGUUUAAAAGCAGACUGAGAAGCUACGAAGAGACAGAAAAGUUUGAAAACAAACUGAAGUCAGACAAUGUGAUGAAAGUAGACAUGACAGCUGUAACCUGCUACAAUUGUGGAAAUCGUGGGCAUAUGGCGAGAGACUGCCGUCAAAAGAGUACACCAAAAUGGUGUAACUACCACAGAAGCACAACCCACAGUGAUGAGACAUGCAGAAGAAGAGCCAAACGGAAGGACGACGCCAAGCAGACUUCAGAGAAGCAGGACAACUACGAGGAGGAUCAGACGAUGGUAUUCAAAGCCAGCCAGGAUCUUCUACCUGAUAACAUCAAACUUAAUGGCAUCAUGGUGGACUGUGGAGCCACAUCACAUAUCAUUACAGAUGAGGAGCAGUUCACACAAUUUGACAAGACCUUCGACCCAAAUAAGCACUUUAUGGAGUUGGCGGAUGGAAGCAAGAUGAACAAUGUUGCACUGAAGCGGGGUGAUGCACUGAUUAAGCUGCUGAACUCUGAGGGGAAGUAUGUUAGAGUCACUCUUAAAAAUGCUUUGCUAAUCCCAUCCUAUCCACAGAGCAUUUUUUCAGUGCAAGCAGCUACAGCCCAUGGAGCCAGUGUGACCUUCAUGGAAGGACAAAAUGAACUCCUGUGUAAGGAUGGAACUGUGUUCCCAAUCGAGGUACAUGAGAGACUGUAUUAUCUGAAAAAUAACAAUGAAAAAUGCAUUGAGAGGCAUUUUACUGAUGUGAUCUGUGAUGAUAAAGUUAAACUAGCCUGUGAUGUCAAAACAUGGCAUCAAAUAUUAGGACACUGUAAUGUAAAUGAUGUUCUGAACUUACAAAAUGUCGUUGAGGGCAUGAAAGUCACUGACAACAGUAAAAUAGAGUGUGACAUAUGCACAGAAGGAAAAUUCAUUAACAGCAGAAACAAAGAAUCAGAUGUUAAAGCUGGAGCACCACUACAGUUAGUCCAUACGGACUUAUCAGGCCCCAUUGAUCCUGCAGGCUUAGAGGGACACAGAUAUGCAAUUUGUUUUACUGAUGAUUUCUCUGGAUUAGCGACUGUCUAUUUUCUGAAAAACAAGAGUGAUACAACUAAAGCAACACAGAAAUUUCUAGCUGACUGUGCACCUUAUGGCAAUGUUAAGUGCAUUAGAUCGGACAACGGUACUGAAUACACAAGUGAUUCAUUUCAAACACUGCUCAGAGAAAAGGGUAUCAGACACGAGACCUCAUCACCAUACUCCCCACAUCAAAAUGGAACAGCAGAAAGACAGUGGAGGACGCUAUUUGAGAUGGGAAGGUGCAUGUUGUUAGAAAAGGGUUUGCCAAAAGAUCUAUGGCCUUAUGCAGUACAGUGCGCUGCCCACAUUCGCAACAGGUGCUACAAUAACCGAACUAAAAGUACCCCAUAUUACAUGAUGACUGGAAGAAAACCUAAUCUGUCUAAAAUGUGGAUUUUUGGAUCAAACUGUUACACUUACAAUGACAAUCACAAGAAAUUAGACUCAAAAGGGGAAAAAGGAAUGUUUGUAGGAUACAGCAAAAACAGCCCAGCCUACUUAGUGUAUCACCCACAGACAAGAAAAGUGUCCAGACACAGACUAGUGAAGUUCAUUAAAGAAAAUGGCGUUAAUCAACAAACACAGACAAAUGAGUGGGAAGUAGAAACCCAGGAAAAACAGACAGACAAAAGACACGUUGAGACUCUGUUAAUCCAAGGCAUCACUGAAAACAUCAAUGCAGGUGAAGAUGAGGAAAACACUCUAGAUGAAACACAAAAUGAGAAUUUUUCUGAUAACAUGAUAGGAAAUAAAAAUGAAGAUGAGGAAAACAAAACAAAACAAAAUGACCGGUAUCCGAAAAGAGAGAAAAGACCACCAAAAUACUUUGAGGAUUACGUACCAGAUUCCAAAAUCAAAGAUGUAACACAAAUAACUGUUGAUUUUUGUUACAGGGCUGUGUGCGGUAUCCCUCAAACAUUCAGUGAGGCUCAAAAAUCAACACAAUCAGAAAGAUGGAAACAAGCAAUGACAGAAGAGAUAAACUCACUUAAAGAAAAUGAUACAUUUGAACUGAGCAUUUUACCAAAAGGUAGAAACACAGUGGGAGGAAAGUGGGUUUAUACCAUCAAAGAAAAUGAAGAGAAAGAAAAGAUCUUCAAAGCUAGAUAUGUAGCAAAGGGCUACAGCCAAACAGAAGGUAUAGAUUACCACGAAACCUUUGCACCAACAGCAAACAUCACAUCUGUGAGAGUGUUAAUGCAGUUAGCAGUUCAAAACAACCUUAAAGUACAUCAGAUGGAUGUCAAAACAGCUUUCUUGCACGCUCCAAUUGAUGAAGAAAUUUACAUAGAACAGCCAGAGGGCUAUGAAGAACACACAGGAACAGGAGAGAAGUAUGUGUACAAAUUAAAGAAAUCCCUGUAUGGGUUAAAACAAUCAGGAAGAAACUGGUACAAACUUUUAAAUGACCAUCUCGAACAAAACGAUUUUGAAAGGAAUCCUGCUGAUCAUUGUGUUUACAGAAAACAAACAGAAAAUGCCAGUGUUAUUGUUCUCAUUUGGGUGGAUGAUUUGAUCAUUGCUGCAAGCAGCAUUGAUUUUUUGAACAAUUUCAAAGAAACGAUGAGAUCCAAAUUUAACAUGAAAGAUUUGGGCAAAAUAAAUUAUUUUUUAGGUAUACAUUUUAAGCAAGAAGAAGAUGAAAUUAAAAUGAGCCAAAAGAAAUACGUCCUGAAAGUGUUGGAAAAAUACAGAAUGUCAGAUUCCAAACCGAGAUCCACCCCAUGUGAGCAAAGUGCUAAUUUAAAUGAAAAUAAUGGGGAUGACAAAACAAACACUGUAAAUCCUACACACUAUCGUGAGAUAGUAGGUAGUCUGAUUUAUGCAAUGACCUGCACCAGACCAGACAUCAGUUGGGUAGUGAGUAAACUAUCCCAAACAUUAGCUAAACCUGCGACAGAAGACCUGGUGAAUGCUAAACAUGUUUUAAGAUACCUCAAAGGUACAUGUGACUAUGAGCUAACAUUCAAGAAAAACAACGAAGACUUGAACCUCAUUGCAUACAGUGACUCGGACUGGGCAUCCUCAGUUGAGGACAGACGCAGCACCACAGGCUAUUGUUUUAGCUUAACAUCACAAGGUCCAGCUAUUUCUUGGAAAUCCAGGAAACAGCCAACUGUAGCUCUUUCCACAUGUGAGGCUGAGUACAUUGCUUUGACAGCCACUACUCAAGAAAGCAUGUAUCUAACCCAACUGUUAAAUGGCAUUGACAACAAAAAGUACAGCUGUACAAAAAUCCAUGGUGAUAAUCAAGGGGCAAUCGCAUUGUGUAAAAAUCCUGUGAACAGACAGAGAUCUAAACAUAUUGAUGUAAAGUACCAUUUCAUACGUGAUGCGUUGAAAGAAGGGAAAAUCAAUGUGAUGUACUGUCCAUCUGAAAACAUGGUUGCCGACAUCCUUACCAAACCUGCACCCAAAGCUAAGUUUGUUAAAUUCAAAAAAUGGUUCUUUGGACACUAAAUACUGUGAAGCAAGGAUGAUGAGAACAAGGGGGAGUGUUGGAGUAUGUUCUCAAUCAGCCUUGUCUGUGUGAUGUUAUAUGUUUCUUUUAGCACUUUAUUUUGAUAG
ensembl:lncRNA uncharacterized LOC114471865